UACGGAGGGGGCAAGCGUUAUUCGGAAUUAUUGGGCGUAAAGGGCAUGUAGGCGGCUCGGUAAGUUAGGUGUGAAAUCCCCAGGCUCAACCUGGGAACAGCAUUUGAUACUGCCGAGCUAGAGUCCAGAAGGGGACAGUGGAAUUUCUAGUGUUAGGGGUGAAAUCCAUAGAUAUUAGGAGGAACACCGGUGGCGAAGGCGACUGUCUGGUAUGGAACUGACGCUGAGAUGCGAAGGCGUGGGGAGCAAACAGG
rnacentral:rRNA from 1 species